rnacentral:sRNA from 1 species
AAAAUUUCUAGUGUUUCAUCAUUUAUUGAGAUUUGUGUUUGUAGAAAUGCCUCAGUGACGUUUGAGCUGAAAGGUAGAUGUUCCUGCAGUGAUUCUGUUCAAUUAUUGCAUUCUCCAUUUUCUUGCAUGUUAUUCGGGGAAAGCUUGUAAGAGGAGAAUAAAUUGCAGUGAUACUUCCAAUAAUGAAGAUUAGAGACAAGGUUUAGAGGAGUAUAAUACUGAUACUUAAUCUCAGCAUUUUGGUGGAAGAAA